rnacentral:rRNA from 1 species
CCCACGCCGAAAGACCAAGGUUUCCUGCGCAACGUUAAUCGACGCAGGGUUAGUCGGUCCCUAAGGCGAGGCUGAAAAGCGUAGUCGAUGGAAAACAGGUUAAUAUUCCUGUACUUCUGGUUAUUGCGAUGGAGGGACGGAGAAGGCUAGGCCAGCUUGGCGUUGGUUGUCCAAGUUUAAGGUGGUAGGCUGGAAUCUUAGGUAAAUCCGGGAUUCUAAGGCCGAGAGCUGAUGACGAGUUACCCUUUGGGUGACGAAGUGGUUGAUGCCAUGCUUCCAAGAAAAGCUUCUAAGCUUCAGGUAACCAGGAACCGUACCCCAAACCGACACAGGUGGUUGGGUAGAGAAUACCAAGGCGCUUGAGAGAACUCGGGUGAAGGAACUAGGCAAAAUGGCACCGUAACUUCGGGAGAAGGUGCGCCGGUGAGGGUGAAGCAUUUACUGCGUAAGCCCAUGCCGGUCGAAGAUACCAGGCCGCUGCGACUGUUUAUUAAAAACACAGCACUCUGCAAACACGAAAGUGGACGUAUAGGGUGUGACGCCUGCCCGGUGCCGGAAGGUUAAUUGAUGGGGUUAGCUAACGCGAAGCUCUUGAUCGAAGCCCCGGUAAACGGCGGCCGUAACUAUAACGGUCCUAAGGUAGCGAAAUUCCUUGUCGGGUAAGUUCCGACCUGCACGAAUGGCGUAACGAUGGCGGCGCUGUCUCCACCCGAGACUCAGUGAAAUUGAAAUCGCUGUGAAGAUGCAGUGUAUCCGCGGCUAGACGGAAAGACCCCGUGAACCUUUACUAUAGCUUUGCACUGGACUUUGAAUUUGCUUGUGUAGGAUAGGUGGGAGGCUUUGAAGCGUGGACGCCAGUUCGCGUGGAGCCAACCUUGAAAUACCACCCUGGCAACUUUGAGGUUCUAACUCAGGUCCGUUAUCCGGAUCGAGGACAGUGUAUGGUGGGUAGUUUGACUGGGGCGGUCUCCUCCUAAAGAGUAACGGAGGAGUACGAAGGUGCGCUCAGACCGGUCGGAAAUCGGUCGUAGAGUAUAAAGGCAAAAGCGCGCUUGACUGCGAGACAGACACGUCGAGCAGGUACGAAAGUAGGUCUUAGUGAUCCGGUGGUUCUGUAUGGAAGGGCCAUCGCUCAACGGAUAAAAGGUACUCCGGGGAUAACAGGCUGAUACCGCCCAAGAGUUCAUAUCGACGGCGG